rnacentral:rRNA from 1 species
CUAAGUUUGAUGGCGACCGGCGCACGGGUGAGUAACACGUAUCCAACCUGCCGAUGACUCGGGGAUAGCCUUUCGAAAGAAAGAUUAAUACCCGAUGGCAUAGUUCUUCCGCAUGGUGGAACUAUUAAAGAAUUUCGGUCAUCGAUGGGGAUGCGUUCCAUUAGGUUGUUGGCGGGGUAACGGCCCACCAAGCCUUCGAUGGAUAGGGGUUCUGAGAGGAAGGUCCCCCACAUUGGACUGAGACACGGCCAAACUCCUACGGGAGGCAGCAUG